UUAGUGGCGGACGGGUGAGUAACGCGUGGAUAACCUGCCGUAUACGGGGGGAUAACACUUAGAAAUAGGUGCUAAUACCGCAUAAGCGCACAGUCUCGCAUGAGACGGUGUGAAAAACUCCGGUGGUAUACGAUGGAUCCGCGUCUGAUUAGCUUGUUGGCGGGGUAACAGCCCACCAAGGCGACGAUCAGUAGCCGGCCUGAGAGGGUGAACGGCCACAUUGGGACUGAGACACGGCCCAAACUCCUACGGAAGGCAGCAG
rnacentral:rRNA from 1 species